AACGAACGCUGGCGGCAGGCUUAACACAUGCAAGUCGAACGCCCCGCAAGGGGAGUGGCAGACGGGUGAGUAACGCGUGGGAACGUGCCCUUCGCUUCGGAAUAGCCCCGGGAAACUGGGAGUAAUACCGAAUACGCCGUAUUGGGAAAGAUUUAUCGGCGAAGGAUCGGCCCGCGUUAGAUUAGCUAGUUGGCGGUGUAAUGGACCACCAAGGCUACGAUCUAUAGCUGGUCUGAGAGGAUGAUCAGCCACACUGGGACUGAGACACGGCCCAGACUCCUACGGGAGGCAGCAGUGGGGAAUCUUGGACAAUGGGCGCAAGCCUGAUCAGCCAUGCCGCGUGAGUGAAGAAGGCCUUAGGGUUGUAAAACUCUUUCGCCGGAGAAGAUAAUGACGGUAUCCGGAGAAGAAGCCCCGGCUAACUUCGUGCCAGCAGCCGCCGCGGUAA
rnacentral:rRNA from 1 species